UACGAAGGAUGCAAGCGUUAUCCGGAUUUAUUGGGUUUAAAGGGUGCGUAGGCGGCCUAUUAAGUCAGGGGUGAAAGACGGUAGCUUAACUAUCGCAGUGCCUUUGAUACUGAUGGGCUUGAAUGUACUUGAGGUAGGCGGAAUGUGACAAGUAGCGGUGAAAUGCAUAGAUAUGUCACAGAACACCAAUUGCGAAGGCAGCUUACUAAAGUAUGAUUGACGCUGAGGCACGAAAGCGUGGGGAUCAAACAGG
rnacentral:rRNA from 1 species